CGGAUCUUCCUCCACCGACCCUCUUUCUCUUCUUUAGUUAGUGCGUUUGGGUCACCGCACCCCAGCGAACUCUAUGCGCCCCUCGGUUCGCGCUCUAUCGGCCGGAGGCGGCCGGACGCCGGUGAGCAGCGCCACCGAGCUCCGCCGUACGCCAUACCCACCGCUAGAGACCUCCUCCGCCGACGUGAUUUAGCACAACAUGUUCGUCUCGUCGAGACGAAGCUGUAGGUGACGGUCGUGCCACCGGAGACCUCGCCAUCGGCGAGAGCUGGCCGGUCGAAGGUGGCCGGAGUACGGCGUGGCUGACCAGUGGGGCCACGACCCCUGGGUCCCGCCUGUCAUCGUCUCUGCGGGUGUGGAUCUGGGUGCAUCUAGUGUUUUUCCUCGGUUUUUCUUAAAUAAAGGUUUUUAGAAAUCAUUUAAAUCUUGUAUAUUUCAUAACUUGAGUUCUACAGCUCCAGAAAAGAUGAAAUAAAUUUUGGUGUGUUCUAAAAUUUCAGAUCUACCAGUUCGUGUAAUUGCAUGUUAUAUUUGAACAACUUUUCUGUACAAAUGUAUUUAAUCCAUAUUUUUGCUAAUAAUUUGAAAAUGCAUAGCAAUGAAAAUAUAACGCAGAAAAAUGUGAAACUUGUUUUGUUAGCUUUGCAUGGAUGAUUAGCCUCUAGGAAAAUAUGUCAUACAUUAGUUGCUGUAUAAACUAAUUUAUAAUGAUUUAAAUGCUUGCAUGGCAAUGGUGUAUGAUUUUUAGUAAAUAAUUGGAUCAUGCAAUUAAUCUGGAAUUUUUUCUAGGUGUUUCUCAUGAUAGUUAGUAAUUUAUAAAAAUAUGAAAUCUGUUGUUUGACACUUUAUCACCAGUGGGGUAAUUAUACUUACUAUAUAGAAUAAACUUGUGUUUUUGUGUGGGCUAAGCUAUCUGUCCAAAUAUUAUGAAACAUUUGUGGUGGACUUUAGAUGGGACCAGUGAUCUACUAUAAUUUUUGUGAAAUUUAUUGAUAAUCAAAAGUACAGGCUACUAUUGUAGGUCCAAUGAUAAUUAAAAUAAAUUAGGAAUUGUUGUGCAUGAGUUAAAUGGCAUAAAAGGGUGUUUGGUGUAUCUUUGAAGCAUCAUGUUUGCUUGUUGGUUAACCAUGAAAACAACUUGUAGAAGAGAAUGCAAUAGAUGCUUAAUUUGAGUACAUGUUCUUGGAUGAUGUUGACUACCUUGUAGAAAUACUCACCUAUAUCAUCUAUGCAUCAUGUCAUGGUCAUCUGGUACCCACUUGCAUAAGCAUUGCAUCCCGGGCAUCUCACACUCCACUCAUGAGCAAACAUGCAUCAUACAGGCUCGCAGGAGAACGAGGUGGGACACGAGGAGUAGGAAGAGGCCUAGGAGCAGGAACUUCCGAGAGGACGAGAGCCAGAAGGAGAGCUUCAGGAGUGUCCGGACCACAAGCCUAGCAUGUUUGAGAAAGGCAAGUCGCGGAGCAUUCUAAGUCACGCUAUUCUCGCUAACUUAAUUGAUAUAUUAUGAUUGUUCUACUAUGUUGCAUUUAAGUGAUAGGAAUUGCUUGAUACCGUUGAUGCAUACUUACUCCAUGAUAUCACCACCUGUUUAUCUACCUUGUCCUAUGUAGACAGGCUCGGAGUCUAUGCUUAGCUUGCUUAGUACGGUAGAUGUCGGGUGAUUUCCUGUCACCUACGAGAUAUAGGUGGACACCUGAAUGAUAAGCGGUCAAUGCUAUUGUGAGAAGUAACCAAGUGUGGGAAUCAACUUGAGACCGAGCAGGGUCUUAUGGUGGAGUUGACCGUAGUGCCCUUGCCUAUGUCGAUUAAGGACCGAUUGUUGACGGCCCUCUUGUCAUGUUGAACACAUGCCCCACACUUAGCUGGAAGGAUAAGUCGUUCCGAUCGCAAAGCCUGAGCAAUAUCCGGGCCAGGAAUCGGCCCGAUGUACGCGUUGUAUUGGUGAUGGUUGAGGAGAACGAUAAGGGCGCGGCGCGCAACCUUGGCAUACAUUGAAUACCUUGGUCACCGGAACGGUCCUUGGGUAUGAGCGGUGCCUGUCGAACCCGAGAAUUGGUCCUGGAUAGUGCAAUACAGUGAUCUGUAGCUCACUUGAUCAGUGAGUGUGGUUUGUGUGGGGAAUAAACUCUCCAGCUGGUAAGAAAUCGAUUCGAAUCGCCAUCGCUCCUGGAUAGUGAGCACUUGACAUGAGCCCUGUCCUCGUAGUAAGGACUAUGAAACACUUGGGUUAUGAUAAGGAAUGUUUUAUGAAUGCUAUGAUGAGGUACAAUCAGAUCACAACACUUGUUUGCAAUAGUACAGGUGCAAAUCUAGAUGAUAGGUAGUAACACCUGACCUGAGCUAAUUAAAUAAGAAGGGUAAGGCUAGGAUAUACUUCUAAUUAAUUAAUGCUUUUGCACAAAUGGUCUCAGCUACCCCACCAUAUAGCCUUCAUGAUCCUUGAAGAGUCUUUAUUUUUGGUUUAUGACGGGUAAAUCUAGCUGAGUACAUUCUCGUACUCAGGGUUCCAUUCCCAUGUUGUUUUGCAGAUGGGUAGAUGUACUAUCGUUGUUGCAUUCACUGCUUGUACCUAGCGAUGGGUGAUAACUAGACCAAGGGCGAUGGUCACUCUACCUUCUCUUUUGCUUUUGUGGGAAUGAUCAACAAUGGCACUGUAUCAGACUGAAUGUGUGUGUUAUUUUAAAACUAUGAAACUUCCGCUACUUGUGAACUUGGUUUGUAAUAACAACAUUUGAACUCCGAUGUAUGUGAUGUAUGUUGCGAACUGGAUGUAACUGUGAAUGGUGACCGCUGAACUUAUUACGAUCUUGGCUGUAUGUAUGAGUUGUGGUUUGAAAUCCUUCAAGAUUUCACGGACUACCGAGAAUAUAUGGGCUUAAGUUUGAUGGUUUGACUGUGCAAAUGGUCAUUAUUAGGAAAAAUCUCUUAUAAUUUGGACCGUUCUGUUACAGCCGUAACCGAUAAUGAUCCUGGCCAAUGAUAGGCAGGGCCCACAUAAGAUGGUGGUAUUUGUCCUUUGUUUGCCACAUGUUUGGCAGCCGCCACAUACGCAAGUUCAUUUUUUCCUCUGCUUCUCUGCAAUAUAGUCUGGCCAUGUAUUUGCUACCAAACUCGGGAUGCCCCUGCCGUUGUGGCGUGUGCGGUUACCGCAGCAACCAAACAAGCCCUAAACAGUAAAUAAUUGAAGAAACCCAUAAAUGAGGUACGCAUGAAGGCUAAUGUUUGUUCAGCUUUGACUGCUGACUUUGGGUGAUUGUGCUCGUGCAGUGACUCAUUGAGCUAGGCCAACGUUGCUGUUCACUUGUCCAUAUGGAUGGGUAGACUGAAUACAGAGCACUAUGAUGGGCUCUAGGAAUGCAAAACACUAGCCCAAAUAGAAUAAUGUUUUGCUAAGCCCAAUACAUUUCAUCUUCUUCCUUGUGAAGGGGCAGGUGUCUGACAAUUUUCAGGGGCUAUACACGCCGGAGCCAAGGUAUGGCGAGGGCAUACUUUCAACACUUAGUCCUUCGCCCCACAUAGUACACGUUGGCAUUUGAGGCAUGUUAGUUGUAGAAAUAGAGAAGAGAAUAGAUGUAUAUAGACAAGAUAUAUAUAUAGAGAUAUGCCAUAGAUGAGUGAUGCAAUUUGUAGCUCCAAACUGUAACAAACAUUGUGUUGGAGGGAUAGAUGGGGAAGUGAGUCACGUGCCCAGAGGAAUAGAAGAGGCAGAACGAUGGAGAAGUAAACUGACAAACUAUGGGACCAAUAGGAAAAGUUUUCUGCAUUUAAUAUUAUGUAGGAUAGAUAUAGAUAUAGAGAUUAUGUAUAGAUACAGAUUAAAUUGAACUACACUUCUAUAAUUUUCAACAGAUAUUGUAGCUCCAAUAUAGUCUGCUCCUGCUAGGCUUCAAAUUCCUUCGGUGUGUGGUGGGUCAACUAGAAGAGUGGUGGGAGCGAGUUGCGGACAAAUGAAGAAGACAUAUUUAUAUAAUUUAAUAAUUAUUAGUUAUCUAUAAAAAUGUCUAGUGACAUGCUAGAUAUAUUAUAGAUAUUGAGAUACAUAUUAAAGUAAAUUUUCAUAUAAUAAUAUAUUAGAAGGGAGUGAAUUGUGUUGUUCACGCAACUUUUGCUAUACCAGGUUUUGUUGUAUAUAAAUACUAAGCCAAAAUAUGCAUCGAUUCACUCCCAUAGACCACAAGCCCACACAUCUUAAUAUAAUCUUCAUUCACUCUCUCUUCACUCGUGCAGAUAGUAGGCAUGGUGAAAGCGGUGGCAAUAGUAGUGGCCUUAGCCCUGGCCAUGGUAGUGGCAAUGAGUGUAGGCAGGGUGUCAGCAAACUGCAACAUCGCGCUGCUAGCAGUUUGCAAGACAGCGGUCAUCGGAGGUUUAAAACCCACUGUGACGUGCUGCUCCAUCCUGCGAGCACAGGAGGCAUGCUUGUGCAAAUACCAGAAAGACCCCAAGUAUGGCAUGUACAUUAACCCUGCCCGCAAAAUGAUUACCUCCUGCGGCAUGGCCAUCCCCAACUGCUAGGUGCCCUUCCCAUGCCCCCACCGUGUCAGUGUUGGAUGUGUGCCUUGUUACCUCUUGUGUGCAUGUAACAUGCCUUAUAUAUAAAUAAAUAAUUUCGGCAAAAGAACUAGUUUAUUGGUUGAAGAUGCAUAGGUCUACGCAUGUCGAUCAAUCUCUGUAUGUUUGUAUUCAAUUUACACCUUAUAUGGACCAUCAUAUAGCACUAAGAGUGAUGGUGCAUAUCCGUGCCCUGUUCAAGACAUGCUUUUCAUUAGCGGCCAGGAACAUUCAUACCAGAUGUAAAGUGAUGGCUUAGCCUCAACAUUGUCAUGCUAGACUGCAAAGCCUCAAGAUUUUCUCAAAUCUAAGACCGAAUAGAACAGUGGCUUUACCCACAGGCGGCACGCUGACCCAACCUAGCUAUGCAGGAGACAUGCUUCUGCCAAGACGUGGAAGACCCCCCAACGCCACAAUCUAGCAUUGUAAACAGCCAAAAAUGGGUGUAAUAAUUUUCCUACCAACAUAAGACUGUCUCUAUUUAUAUGAGAGGAUCCAUAUAUCCAAUUGUCAAAAACACAUCUACCUUUACUUUUUUACCUCUAAAUAUAAUCCCCUCCAAAAGCCUUAUUGUGCAACACAUUCUAGGUGCCUUUGUCGAUCCUAGACCACCCUUGCUAUCACCGCUACAAUAGAACUUAACUGUGGCAGGCAUUUUACAUUUACUGUGCCAGUUUUUACAACUGCCACAGACACAAGGUCAAGUUAAUUGUGGCUUAAUUGAGGCAGUUUAUAAAACCACCAUAGUUAAUCCAUUAGCCGUGGCGGGCGACAUAAGGCAAGCACCAUGGUAAAUAGACAUUCACGAUGACAGCUGCCUUAUGUCGCCCUGUGGCCUACAAGAUUUAGUUUCCUGAAGAGUUGAACUCAAUAUUUCUAGUUUUUCAUGUGUCCCAGCUGAGGAAAUGUUUGAAAGUGCCCGAGCAGCGGAUUGAACCUCAAGGAAUCAAGAUAAAGGCAGAUUUGGAAUAUAAAGAGCAACCGGUGGGUAUCGUAGAUACCAAGGAGCGGGUAACCCAGAAUAGAGUUGUCAAAACUUACAAGGUGGUAUGGAGUCAUCACGACGAUAGAGAUGCCACCUGGGAAACCGAGGAUUACCUAAAAACAGUUUACCCAAAAUUUCAUAAGAAAUGGUUAGUAACCCAAAAUCUCGGGACGAGAUUUCUCUAAGGUGGGAAGGGCUGUAACACCCUAGGUGUUAAGCAUGCACUUAAGUUUCAUAAACAUUCUCAUCAAGCAUAGCAUAAGCAUAGCAUCACAUGAGCAUGGCAUUAAUCCAAGUGUGAUUUUAUGUGCUUGAAUUUCAUGGUUUAUAUAUGAUAGAAAUAGUGUGCUUGUUGCCAAAAUUCUUGAAAUGCCCAAAAUAGGUUGAAAUAUGUUUAGAAGAAUUAAGAGUAAUUUGGUGAAAUUUUUGGAGCUAUAGAAAUUGAGAAAAUGGAUUUUUACAAAAAUCCCCAAAAUGAAUUCAUUUAAAAACCUAUAACUAGUUUUAAGUUGUAUCUCAAAUUCUAUUUAAAAUUUGGGAUUUCAACUUGAAUCAAAGUUGUAGAACUCUUUAUUUGUGACAACUUUUGUUUUUGGGGGUAAAGCUGAAAAAGGUUUUAAAAUAGUCAAAAUGAAUUUGGAAAAAGAAUUGAGAAAAUAAAUUCAAAAAAAAGAAAGGGGGCAGGCGCUGCUGGGCCGACCCGCCUCCCAUUUGGCCCGCUCAGCCACGCGGCCCAUUUCCCCCUCCCCUCUCACGCGCGCGGACGCGCCCGCCUCGCUCCACCCGGCGCCGGCCACGUGGCGGCCGUACGCCAGCAUCGUGGACGCGGCCGCCCGCCCGAUCGGCUUAACCCGGUAGGGAUGCCACCCCGCGCCCCCAAAAUGCCCCACUCUGUCCCAUACCAACUCCUUCUUCUUCCUCGCUCGCGCGCAGCAGCAGCCGCGGCGGUGCUCCGCCGUGCGCCAUUGGCAUCGCAGCCAAGCUCCCCACUCCGACCACCCGCGUUCGAUUAAACCCACCCCCAGCUCCGUCUCGACGAGCUCUACCUCGUGCGCACACUCCUGGCUGUCCGCGUCAAGGUAUUGGGUGAGAUUCCGCCACCGCACCAUGGCCGGAGCUUCGGCAAGCUCUCGGUCCGCGCCGAUCUUCCUCCCCUGACCCUCUUUCUCUUCUUUAAUUAGCGCAUUUUGGUCGCCGCACCCCAGCGAACCCUAUGCGCCUCUCCGUUCGCGUUCUAUUGGCUGGAGGCGGCCAGACGCCGAUGAGCAGCGCCACCGAGCUCCACCAUGCGCCAUACCCACCGCUAGGGACCUCCACCGCCGACGUGAGUUAGCGCAACGUGUUCGUCUCGUCGAGACAAAGCCGUAGGUGACGGCCGUGCCACCGGAGACCUCGCCGUCGACGAGAGCCAGCCGGUCGAAGGCGGCCGGACUACGGCGCGGCUGACCAGUGGGGCCACGACCCCUGGGUCCCGCCUGUCAAGAUCUUUGCGGGUGUGGAUCAGGGUGGAUCUAGUGUUUUUCCUCAGUUUUUCUUAAAUAAAGGUUUCAGAAAUCAUUUAAAUCUUGUAUAUUUCAUAACUUGAGUUCUACAGCUCCAAAAAUGAUGAAAUAAAUUAUGGUGUGUUCUAAAAUUUCAGAUCUACCAUUUGGUGUAAUUGCAUGUUAUAUUUGAACGACUUUUCUGUACAAAUGUAUUUAAUCCAUGUUUUUGCUAAUAAUUAGAAAAUGCAUAGCAAUUAAAAUAUAACUCAGAAAAAUGUGAAACUUGUUUUGUUAGCUUUUCAUGGAUGAUUAGCCUCUGGGAAAAUAUGUCAUACAUUAGUUGCUGUAUAAACUAAUUUAUAAUGAUUUAAAUGCUUGCAUGGCAAUGGUGUAUGAUUUUUAGUAAAUAAUUGGAUCAUGCAAUUAAUCUCGAAAUUUUUGUGGGAGUUCCUCAUCAUAGUAAUUAAUUUAUAAAAAUAUGAAAUCUGUUGUUUAACACUUUAUCACCAGUGGGUAAUUAUAGUUACUAUAUAGAAUAAACUUGUGUUUUUGUGUGGGCUAAGCUAUCUGUCCAAAUAUUAUAAAAAAUUUGUGGUGGACUUUAAAUGGGACCAGUGAUCUACUGUAAUUUUUGUGAAAUUUAUUGAUAAUCAUAAGUACAGGCUACUGUUGUAGGUCCAAUGAUAAUUAAAAUAAAUUAGGAAUUGUUGUGCAUGAGUUAAAUGGCAUAAAAGGGUGUUUGGUGUAUCUUUGAAGCAUCAUGUUAGCUUGCUUGUUAACCAUGAAAACAACUUGUAGAAGAGAAUGCAAUAGAUGCUUAAUUUGAGUACAUGUUCUUGGAUGAUGUUGACUACCUUGUAGAAAUAAUCACCUAUAUCAUCUAUGCAUGAUUUCAUGGUCAUCUGGUACCCACUUGCAUAAGCAUUGCAUCCCGGGCAUCUCACACUCCACUCAUGAACACACAUGCAUCAUACAGGCUCGCAGGAGAACGAGGUGGGACACAAGAAGCAGGAAGAGGCCCAGGAGCAGGAACUUCCGGGAGGACCAGAGCCGGAAGGAGAGCUUCAGGAGUGUGCGGACCACAAGCCUAGCAUGUUUGAGAAAGGAAAGCCCCGGAGCAUUCUAAGUCUCCCUAUUCUCGCUAACUUAAUUGAUAUAUUAUGAUUGUUCUACUAUGUUGCAUCUAAGUGAUAGGAAUUGCUUGAUACCGUUGAUGCAUACUUACUCCUUGAUAUCACCACCUGUUUAUCUACCUUGUCCUAUGUAGUAGGCUCGGAGUCUAUGCUUAGCUUGCUUAGUACGGUAGAAAUCAGGUGAUUUCGAGUCACCUGCGAGAUAUAGGUGGACACCUCAAUGAUAAGCGGUCAAUGCUGUUGUGAGAAGUAACCAAGUGUGGGAAUGAACUUGAGACCGGUCAGGGUCUUAUGGUGGAGUUGACCGUAGUGCCCCUGCCUGUGUCGAUUAAGGACCGAUCAUUGACGACCCUCUUGUCAUGUUGAACGCAUGCCCACACUAAGCUGGAAGGAUAAGUCAUUCCGACCGUGAAGCCUGAGCACUAUCUGGGCCAGGAAUCGGCUCGAUGUACGCGUUGUAUUGGUGAUCUUUGAGGAGAACGAUGAGGGCGCGGUGUGCAACCUUGGUAUACCUUGGAUACCUCGGUCGACGAAACGGUCCUCGGGUACGAGUGGUGCCUGUCGAACACGUGAAUUGGUCCUGUAUAGUGUAAUACGGUGAUCUGUAGCUCACUUGAUCAGUGAGUGUGGUUUGUGUGGAGAACAAACUCGCCAGCUGGUCAGAAAUCGAUUCGUAUCGCCAUCGCUCCUGGAUAAUGAGCACUUGACAUGAGCCCUGUCCUGGUAGUAAGGUCUAUGAAACACUUGGGAUAUGAUAAGGAAUGUUUUGUGAAUGUUAUGAUGAGGUACCAUCAUAUCACAACACUUGUUUGCAAUAGUAUAGGUGCAAAUCUGGAUGAUAGGUAAUAACACCUGCCCUGAGCUAAUUAAAGAAGAAGGGUAAGGCUAGGAUAUACAUCUAGUUAAUUAAUGCUUUUGGGCAAAAGGUCUCAGCUACCCCAUCAAACAGCCUUCAUGAUCCUUGAAGAGUCUUUAUUUUUGGUUUAUGACGGGUAAGUCUAGCUGAGUACAUUCUCGUACUCAGGGUUCCAUUCCCAUGUUGUUUUGCAGAUGGGCAGAUGUACUAUGGUUAUUGCGUUCACUGCUUGUACCCAGCGAUGGGUGAUGACUAGACCGAGGGCGAUGGUCACUCUACCUUCUCUUUUGCUUUUGGGCGAAUGAUCAACAAUGGCACUGUAUCAGACUGAAUGUGUGUGUGUUAUUUUAAAACUAUGAAGCUUCCGCUACUUGUGAACUUGGUUUGUAAUAACUACAUUUGAACUCCGAUGUAUGUGAUGUAUGUUGCGAACUGGAUGUAACUGUGAAUGGUGACCGCUGAACUUAUUACGAUCUUGGCUGUAUGUAUGAGUUGUGGUUUGAAAUCCUUCGAGAUUUCACGGACUACCGGGAUUAUAUGGGCUUAAGCUUGAUGAUUUGACUCUGCAAACGGUCAAUAUUAGGCUUAAUCUCUCAUAAUUUGGACGGUUAUGUUACAUCCGUAACCGAUAAUGAUCCUGUCCAAUGAUAGGCAGGGCCCACAUAAGAUGGUGGUAUUUGUCCUCUGUUUGCCACAUGUUUGGCAGCCGCCACAUACGCAAGUUCAUUUUUUCCUCUGCUUCUCUGCCAUAUAGACUGAAUACAGAGCACUAUGAUGGGCUCUAGGAAUGCAAAACACUAGCCCAAAUAGAAUAAUGUUUUGCUAAGCCCAAUACAUUUCAUCUUCUUCCUUGUGAAGGGGCAGGUGUCUGACAAUUUUCAGGGGCUAUACACGCCGGAGCCAAGGUAUGGCGAGGGCAUACUUUCAACACUUAGUCCUUCGCCCCACAUAGUACACGUUGGCAUUUGAGGCAUGUUAGUUGUAGAAAUAGAGAAGAGAAUAGAUGUAUAUAGACAAGAUAUAUAUAUAGAGAUAUGCCAUAGAUGAGUGAUGCAAUUUGUAGCUCCAAACUGUAACAAACAUUGUGUUGGAGGGAUAGAUGGGGAAGUGAGUCACGUGCCCAGAGGAAUAGAAGAGGCAGAACGAUGGAGAAGUAAACUGACAAACUAUGGGACCAAUAGGAAAAGUUUUCUGCAUUUAAUAUUAUGUAGGAUAGAUAUAGAUAUAGAGAUUAUGUAUAGAUACAGAUUAAAUUGAACUACACUUCUAUAAUUUUCAACAGAUAUUGUAGCUCCAAUAUAGUCUGCUCCUGCUAGGCUUCAAAUUCCUUCGGUGUGUGGUGGGUCAACUAGAAGAGUGGUGGGAGCGAGUGGCGGACAAAUGAAGAAGACAUAUUUAUAUAAUUUAAUAAUUAUUAGUUAUCUAUAAAAAUGUCUAGUGACAUGCUAGAUAUAUUAUAGAUAUUGAGAUACAUAUUAAAGUAAAUUUUCAUAUAAUAAUAUAUUAGAAGGGAGUGAAUUGUGUUGUUCACGCAACUUUUGCUAUACCAGGUUUUGUUGUAUAUAAAUACUAAGCCAAAAUAUGCAUCGAUUCACUCCCAUAGACCACAAGCCCACACAUCUUAAUAUAAUCUUCAUUCACUCUCUCUUCACUCGUGCAGAUAGUAGGCAUGGUGAAAGCGGUGGCAAUAGUAGUGGCCUUAGCCCUGGCCAUGGUAGUGGCAAUGAGUGUAGGCAGGGUGUCAGCAAACUGCAACAUCGCGCUGCUAGCAGUUUGCAAGACGGCGGUCAUCGGAGGUUUAAAACCCACUGUGACGUGCUGCUCCAUCCUGCGAGCACAGGAGGCAUGCUUGUGCAAAUACCAGAAAGACCCCAAGUAUGGCAUGUACAUUAACCCUGCCCGCAAAAUGAUUACCUCCUGCGGCAUGGCCAUCCCCAACUGCUAGGUGCCCUUCCCAUGCCCCCACCGUGUCAGUGUUGGAUGUGUGCCUUGUUACCUCUUGUGUGCAUGUAACAUGCCUUAUAUAUAAAUAAAUAAUUUCGGCAAAAGAACCAGUUUAUUGGUUGAAGAUGCAUAGGUCUACGCAUGUCGAUCAAUCUCUGUAUGUUUGUAUUCAAUUUACACCUUAUAUGGACCAUCAUAUAGCACUAAGAGUGAUGGUGCAUAUCCGUGCCCUGUUCAAGACAUGCUUUUCAUUAGCGGCAAGGAACAUUCAUACCAGAUGUAAAGUGAUGGCUUAGCCUCAACAUUGUCAUGCUAGACUGCAAAGCCUCAAGAUUUUCUCAAAUCUAAGACCGAAUAGAACAGUGGCUUUACCCACAGGCGGCACGCUGACCCAACCUAGCUAUGCAGGAGACAUGCUUCUGCCAAGACGUGGAAGACCCCCCAACGCCACAAUCUAGCAUUGUAAACAGCCAAAAAUGGGUGUAAUAAUUUUCCUACCAACAUAAGACUGUCUCUAUUUAUAUGAGAGGAUCCAUAUAUCCAAUUGUCAAAAACACAUCUACCUUUACUUUUUUACCUCUAAAUAUAAUCCCCUCCAAAAGCCUUAUUGUGCAACACAUUCUAGGUGCCUUUGUCGAUCCUAGACCACCCUUGCUAUCACCGCUACAAUAGAACUUAACUGUGGCAGGCAUUUUACAUUUACUGUGCCAGUUUUUACAACUGCCACAGACACAAGGUCAAGUUAAUUGUGGCUUAAUUGAGGCAGUUUAUAAAACCACCAUAGUUAAUCCAUUAGCCGUGGCGGGCGACAUAAGGCAAGCACCAUGGUAAAUAGACAUUCACGAUGACAGCUGCCUUAUGUCGCCCUGUGGCCUACAAGAUUCAGUUUCCUGAAGAGUUGAACUCAAUAUUUCUAGUUUUUCAUGUGUCCCAGCUGAGGAAAUGUUUGAAAGUGCCCGAGCAGCGGAUUGAACCUCAAGGAAUCAAGAUAAAGGCAGAUUUGGAAUAUAAAGAGCAACCGGUGGGUAUCGUAGAUACCAAGGAGCGGGUAACCCAGAAUAGAGUUGUCAAAACUUACAAGGUGGUAUGGAGUCAUCACGACGAUAGAGAUGCCACCUGGGAAACCGAGGAUUACCUAAAAACAGUUUACCCAAAAUUUCAUAAGAAAUGGUUAGUAACCCAAAAUCUCGGGACGAGAUUUCUCUAAGGUGGGAAGGGCUGUAACACCCUAGGUGUUAAGCAUGCACUUAAGUUUCAUAAACAUUCUCAUCAAGCAUAGCAUAAGCAUAGCAUCACAUGAGCAUGGCAUUAAUCCAAGUGUGAUUUUAUGUGCUUGAAUUUCAUGGUUUAUAUAUGAUAGAAAUAGUGUGCUUGUUGCCAAAAUUCUUGAAAUGCCCAAAAUAGGUUGAAAUAUGUUUAGGAGAAUUAAGAGUAAUUUGGUGAAAUUUUUGGAGCUAUAGAAAUUGAGAAAAUGGAUUUUUACAAAAAUUCCCAAAAUGAAUUCAUUUAAAAACCUAUAACUAGUUUUAAGUUGUAUCUCAAAUUCUAUUUAAAAUUUGGGAUUUCAACUUGAAUCAAAGUUGUAGAACUCUUUAUUUGUGACAACUUUUGUUUUUGGGGUAAAGCUGAAAAAGGUUUUAAAAUAGUCAAAAUGAAUUUGGGAAAAGAAUUGAGAAAAGAAAUUCAAAAAAAAGAAAGGGGGCAGGCGCUGCUGGGCCGACCCGCCUCCCAUUUGGCCCGCUCAGCCACGCGGCCCAUUUCCCCCUCCCCUCUCACGCGCGCGGACGCGCCCGCCUCGCUCCACCCGGCGCCGGCCACGUGGCGGCCGUACGCCAGCAUCGUGGACGCGGCCGCCCGCCCGAUCGGCUUAACCCGGUAGGGAUGCCACCCCGCGCCCCCAAAAUGCCCCACUCUGUCCCAUACCAACUCCUUCUUCUUCCUCGCUCGCGCGCAGCAGCAGCCGCGGCGGUGCUCCGCCGUGCGCCAUUGGCAUCGCAGCCAAGCUCCCCACUCCGACCACCCGCGUUCGAUUAAACCCACCCCCAGCUCCGCCUCGACGAGCUCUACCUCGUGCGCACACUCCUGGCUGUCCGCGUCAAGGUAUUGGGUGAGAUUCCGCCACCGCACCAUGGCCGGAGCUUCGGCAAGCUCUCGGUCCGCGCCGAUCUUCCUCCCCUGACCCUCUUUCUCUUCUUUAAUUAGCGCAUUUUGGUCGCCGCACCCCAGCGAACCCUAUGCGCCCCUCCGAUCGCGUUCUAUUGGCUGGAGGCGGCCAGACGCCGAUGAGCAGCGCCACCGAGCUCCACCAUGCGCCAUACCCACCGCUAGGGACCUCCACCGCCGACGUGAGUUAGCGCAACGUGUUCGUCUCGUCGAGACAAAGCCGUAGGUGAUGGCCGUGCCACCGGAGACCUCGCCGUCGACGAGAGCCAGCCGGUCGAAGGCGGCCGGACUACGGCGUGGCUGACCAGUGGGGCCACGACCCCUGGGUCCCGCCUGUCAGCAUCUUUGCGGGUGUGGAUUAGGGUGGAUCUAGUGUUUUUCCUCGGUUUUUCUUAAAUAAAGGUUUCAGAAAUCAUUUAAAUCUUGUAUAUUUCAUAACUUGAGUUCUACAGCUCCAAAAAUGAUGAAAUAAAUUAUGGUGUGUUCUAAAAUUUCAGAUCUACCAUUUGGUGUAAUUGCAUGUUAUAUUUGAACGACUUUUCUGUACAAAUGUAUUUAAUCCAUGUUUUUGCUAAUAAUUAGAAAAUGCAUAGCAAUUAAAAUAUAACUCAGAAAAAUGUGAAACUUGUUUUGUUAGCUUUUCAUGGAUGAUUAGCCUCUGGGAAAAUAUGUCAUACAUUAGUUGCUGUAUAAACUAAUUUAUAAUGAUUUAAAUGCUUGCAUGGCAAUGGUGUAUGAUUUUUAGUAAAUAAUUGGAUCAUGCAAUUAAUCUCGAAAUUUUUGUGGGAGUUCCUCAUCAUAGUAAUUAAUUUAUAAAAAUAUGAAAUCUGUUGUUUAACACUUUAUCACCAGUGGGUAAUUAUAGUUACUAUAUAGAAUAAACUUGUGUUUUUGUGUGGGCUAAGCUAUCUGUCCAAAUAUUAUAAAAAAUUUGUGGUGGACUUUAAAUGGGACCAGUGAUCUACUGUAAUUUUUGUGAAAUUUAUUGAUAAUCAUAAGUACAGGCUACUGUUGUAGGUCCAAUGAUAAUUAAAAUAAAUUAGGAAUUGUUGUGCAUGAGUUAAAUGGCAUAAAAGGGUGUUUGGUGUAUCUUUGAAGCAUCAUGUUAGCUUGCUUGUUAACCAUGAAAACAACUUGUAGAAGAGAAUGCAAUAGAUGCUUAAUUUGAGUACAUGUUCUUGGAUGAUGUUGACUACCUUGUAGAAAUAAUCACCUAUAUCAUCUAUGCAUGAUUUCAUGGUCAUCUGGUACCCACUUGCAUAAGCAUUGCAUCCCGGGCAUCUCACACUCCACUCAUGAACACACAUGCAUCAUACAGGCUCGCAGGAGAACGAGGUGGGACACAAGGAGCAGGAAGAGGCCCAGGAGCAGGAACUUCCGGGAGGACCAGAGCCGGAAGGAGAGCUUCAGGAGUGUGCGGACCACAAGCCUAGCAUGUUUGAGAAAGGAAAGCCCCGGAGCAUUCUAAGUCUCCCUAUUCUCGCUAACUUAAUUGAUAUAUUAUGAUUGUUCUACUAUGUUGCAUCUAAGUGAUAGGAAUUGCUUGAUACCGUUGAUGCAUACUUACUCCUUGAUAUCACCACCUGUUUAUCUACCUUGUCCUAUGUAGUAGGCUCGGAGUCUAUGCUUAGCUUGCUUAGUACGGUAGAAAUCAGGUGAUUUCGAGUCACCUGCGAGAUAUAGGUGGACACCUCAAUGAUAAGCGGUCAAUGCUGUUGUGAGAAGUAACCAAGUGUGGGAAUGAACUUGAGACCGGUCAGGGUCUUAUGGUGGAGUUGACCGUAGUGCCCCUGCCUGUGUCGAUUAAGGACCGAUCAUUGACGACCCUCUUGUCAUGUUGAACGCAUGCCCACACUAAGCUGGAAGGAUAAGUCAUUCCGACCGUGAAGCCUGAGCACUAUCUGGGCCAGGAAUCGGCUCGAUGUACGCGUUGUAUUGGUGAUCUUUGAGGAGAACGAUGAGGGCGCGGUGUGCAACCUUGGUAUACCUUGGAUACCUCGGUCGACGAAACGGUCCUCGGGUACGAGUGGUGCCUGUCGAACACGCGAAUUGGUCCUGUAUAGUGUAAUACGGUGAUCUGUAGCUCACUUGAUCAGUGAGUGUGGUUUGUGUGGAGAACAAACUCGCCAGCUGGUCAGAAAUCGAUUCGUAUCGCCAUCGCUCCUGGAUAAUGAGCACUUGACAUGAGCCCUGUCCUGGUAGUAAGGUCUAUGAAACACUUGGGAUAUGAUAAGGAAUGUUUUGUGAAUGUUAUGAUGAGGUACCAUCAUAUCACAACACUUGUUUGCAAUAGUAUAGGUGCAAAUCUGGAUGAUAGGUAAUAACACCUGACCUGAGCUAAUUAAAGAAGAAGGGUAAGGCUAGGAUAUACAUCUAGUUAAUUAAAGCUUUUGGGCAAAAGGUCUCAGUUACCCCAUCAAACAGCCUUCAUGAUCCUUGAAGAGUCUUUAUUUUUGGUUUAUGACGGGUAAGUCUAGCUGAGUACAUUCUCGUACUCAGGGUUCCAUUCCCAUGUUGUUUUGCAGAUGGGCAGAUGUACUAUGGUUAUUGCGUUCACUGCUUGUACCCAGCGUUGGGUGAUGACUAGACCGAGGGCGAUGGUCACUCUACCUUCUCUUUUGCUUUUGGGCGAAUGAUCAACAAUGGCACUGUAUCAGACUGAAUGUGUGUGUGUGUUAUUUUAAAACUAUGAAGCUUCCGCUACUUGUGAACUUGGUUUGUAAUAACUACAUUUGAACUCCGAUGUAUGUGAUGUAUGUUGCGAACUGGAUGUAACUGUGAAUGGUGACCGCUGAACUUAUUACGAUCUUGGCUGUAUGUAUGAGUUGUGGUUUGAAAUCCUUCGAGAUUUCACGGACUACCGGGAUUAUAUGGGCUUAAGCUUGAUGAUUUGACUCUGCAAACGGUCAAUAUUAGGCUUAAUCUCUCAUAAUUUGGACGGUUAUGUUACAUCCGUAACCGAUAAUGAUCCAGUCCAAUGAUAGGCAGGGCCCACAUAAGAUGGUGGUAUUUGUCCUCUGUUUGCCACAUGUUUGGCAGCCGCCACAUACGCAAGUUCAUUUUUUCCUCUGCUUCUCUGCCAUAUAGACUGAAUACAGAGCACUAUGAUGGGCUCUAGGAAUGCAAAACACUGGCCCAAAUAGAAUAAUGUUUUGCUAAGCCCAAUACAUUUCAUCUUCUUCCUUGUGAAGGGGCAGGUGUCUGACAAUUUUCAGGGGCUAUACACGCCGGAGCCAAGGUAUGGCGAGGGCAUACUUUCAACACUUAGUCCUUCGCCCCACAUAGUACACGUUGGCAUUUGAGGCAUGUUAGUUGUAGAAAUAGAGAAGAGAAUAGAUGUAUAUAGACAAGAUAUAUAUAUAGAGAUAUGCCAUAGAUGAGUGAUGCAAUUUGUAGCUCCAAACUGUAACAAACAUUGUGUUGGAGGGAUAGAUGGGGAAGUGAGUCACGUGCCCAGAGGAAUAGAAGAGGCAGAACGAUGGAGAAGUAAACUGACAAACUAUGGGACCAAUAGGAAAAGUUUUCUGCAUUUAAUAUUAUGUAGGAUAGAUAUAGAUAUAGAGAUUAUGUAUAGAUACAGAUUAAAUUGAACUACACUUCUAUAAUUUUCAACAGAUAUUGUAGCUCCAAUAUAGUCUGCUCCUGCUAGGCUUCAAAUUCCUUCGGUGUGUGGUGGGUCAACUAGAAGAGUGGUGGGAGCGAGUGGCGGACAAAUAAAGAAGACAUAUUUAUAUAAUUUAAUAAUUAUUAGUAAUAUAUAAAAAUGUCUAGUGACAUGCUAGAUAUGUUAUAGAUAUUAAGAUACAUAUUAAAGUAAAUUUUCAUAUAAUAAUAUAUUAGAAGGGAGUGAAUUGUGUUGUUCACGCAACUUUUGCUAUACCAGGUUUUGUUGUGUAUAAAUACUAAGCCAAAACAUGCAUCGAUUCACUCCCAUAGACCACAAGCCCACACAUCUUAAUAUAAUAUUCAUUCACUCUCUCUUCACUCGUGCAGAUAGUAGGCAUGGUGAAAGCGGUGGGAGUAGUAGUGGCCUUAGCCCUGGCCAUGGUAGUGGCAAUGAGUGUAGGCGGGGUGUCAGCGAACUGCAACAUCGCGCUGCUAGCAGUUUGCAAGACGGCGGUCAUCGGAGGGUUAAAACCCACUGUGACGUGCUGCUCCAUCCUGCGAGCACAGGAGGCAUGUAUGUGCAAAUACCAGAAAGACCCCAAGUAUGGCAUGUACAUUAACCCUGCCCGCAAAAUGAUUACCUCCUGCGGCAUGGCCAUCCCCAACUGCUAGGUGCACUUCCCAUGCCCCCACCGUGUCAGUGUUGGAUGUGUGCCUUGUUACCUCUUGUGUGCAUGUAACAUGCCUUAUAUAUAAAUAAAUAAUUUCGGCAAAAGAACCAGUUUAUUGGUUGAAGAUGCAUAGGUCUACGCAUGUCGAUCAAUCUCUGUAUGUUUGUAUUCAAUUUACACCUUAUAUGGACCAUCAUAUAGCACUAAGAGUGAUGGUGCAUAUCCGUGCCCUGUUCAAGACAUGCUUUUCAUUAGCGGCCAGGAACAUUCAUACCAGAUGUAAAGUGAUGGCUUAGCCUCAACAUUGUCAUGCUAGACUGCAAAGCCUCAAGAUUUUCUCAAAUCAAAGACCGAAUAGAACAAUGGCUUUACCCACAGGCGGCACGCUGACCCAACUUAGUUAUGCAGGAGACAUGCUUCUGCCAAGACGUGGAAGACCCCCCAAUGCCACAAUCUAGCCUUGUAAACAACCAAAAAUGGGUGGAAUAAUUUUCCUACCGAGAUAAGACUGUCUCUAUUUAUAUGAGAGGAUCCAUAUAUCCAAUUGUCAAAAACACAUCUACCUUUACUUUUUUACCACUAAAUAUAAUCCCCUCCAAAAGCCCUAUUGUGCAACACAUUCUAGGUGCCUUUGUC
rnacentral:lncRNA from 1 species